AACGAACGCUGGCGGCAGGCCUCAAACAUGCAAGUCUAGGGGACGUAGCAAUACGUCACCGGCGGACGGGUGCGUAACACGUGGGAAUAUACCUUUCGGUACGGAACAACGCAGGGAAACUUGCGCUAAUACCGUAUACGUCCUUACGGAGAAAGAUUUAUCGCCGAAGGAUUAGCCCGCGUUCGAUUAGCUAGUUGGUGAGGUAAUGGCUCACCAAGGCAACGAUCGAUAGCUGUUCUGAGAGGAAGAUCAGCCACACUGGGACUGAGACACGGCCCAGACUCCUACGGGAGGCAGCAGUUGGGAAUCUUGGACAAUGGGGGAAACCCUGAUCCAGCCAUGCCGCGUGAGUGAUGAAGGCCUUCGGGUUGUAAAGCUCUUUUACCCGGGAAGAUAAUGACUGUACCGGGAGAAUAAGCUCCGGCUAACUUCGUGCCAGCAGCCGCGGUAAUACGAAGGGGGCUAGCGUUGUUCGGAAUUACUGGGCGUAAAG
rnacentral:rRNA from 1 species